UCUUCCCAAUCAUACUUUCUCUGUACACCAUUUUUAUUUUCUUCCUCUCAAGCAUCAAAGGGAACACGAACUAAGAAGAAGAGAAAGCAUCCAACUUUCAAGUGAGAAAGUAGAAGGGACAGGAGAUAUAAAAAAAGGGGCCUCAUAAUUUCCAGCCCAUACCUUGAUUCUUUGCAUAAGAGGUUGGGCGCUGCCUGACCGAGAAGAAGUCGCUGUUCGAACUACAACGACGGUGAGGGAGAGGUAGAAUCGAGGGCUGGGCGCGCGGUAACAUUGGUGCAGCAGCAGCGGCUGAACCGAGAGAACAGCAGCGGCAUCAGCCGUCAACUGCUGAAGAUAGAAACGGUGAGAGCUGGAGACGCACGGCAGCAGCGACGGAAGGCGAUAUCUGGGCGACAGCAGCUACGCUGUGAAGGCUGCCUCAGCGAACAACAUCGACAGUUUCCUCCGAACAGCGGCUGCUCGGCAGCGACACGCACCUGCGCAACGGACAGCAUCAGCGCGAUGGUGAAUUGAAUGGAGCGAUAGCGACUGGCCGAAUUGUGACGGAUUGCAGCAGCGGCUGUUCUCAGCAGCAGCAGUCGCGGCUGCUCAUGACGGACAGCAGCAGCGGGCUGAUGAAACUCCGAGAGUGCAGCGGCGACGACCCCAGCAGUGUCGACGGGCUGUCUGCAAUAGCAGCCGCGACUCACGACGGUACUACAGUGCGAGAGAGAAAAGCGGAACGGCGAGGCCGGAGGCUUGAACUGCACCGUGACAGCAACGACACUGCGCUCUGACCGACGGAGGAGUUGCGAACUGAGGAAGGGAGAUGGUGAUGUAUGACGGUAGAAAGAGAGAACGAGACUGAGAGAGGAUGACAGUGGGCUUGGACCGAGGGAGAGACAGCAUUGGCUGACAGGAAUCUUCGGUGGUCUCAUUAAUCCGGAUUUUAGACGGCGGGGACUUCAGUCUUACACCACGAUCGAGCAGUAGCACGAUGGCGGGUCAUCGGAGGCGACUGAUUUUAGGAGAUGCGAAGAGAGACGGCUGGAGAGAGAGAUAUGGGUGAGAGAGAAAGAUGACAGAAGUGUUUCAAUGAGAAGUAUAGGACUUCAAAGCCCAUUUUGGAAGUUCACUAUCACAUAAGGAGAUGAAUUGGAGUUAAUUUGGUUUGGCCAAAUUAAUAAAAUAGAAGUUCGGCCGGAGUACAUUAAAUCAAUGGGUGACAUCACACACGCUUUUUGAGGAACAAGUUAAGGCUUUAACAAAUGAGGUGGGCUUUCUUUUGAAAUAUUUUGAAUUAUUUUGCCAAAUGAUGAAUGAUGUAUCUACUUUGCAAAAUGCAUUAUGUCU